UCAUUGGCAGUCCAUUGUCUCGUGUGCAAGCGACAAGAGGCGGCCGGUUCAAAACGCACACGUUCAAUAUUUCAUUGCGUGCUCAUACAAAGACGGCGCAUCCUCAUUAUCAUUGUAUUAGGCUGAAUAAAACGAUGAUAAGAGAGAAGUCGGCAGGAUCGUCCCGUCAUUUUACAGCAUGCAACCCUCCAAACAGGUCGGGCUUCUGACAUUCGGAAUCGGCGAAGCUUGGCGGAAGGAGUGCGGUUCAUUCAUCCUUGAUACCAUCAUUGCCAGCAGCAGCAGCAACAGCCUGUAGCUCCACGUCCCACGGCAGAUGGUAAAGGAUGGACAAGGACGAAGCUGAUUGACCUCCAUGUUGAAAUAUUGGGUGUCCACAUUCAUUUGGCACUUGUGGAAUAAUCGCUUUAUACCAUGUCGAUUAUACACCGGUGCCAAAUAACGGAUGACGCCAAACGCUGCGGAACUAGAGAAUCUGGAAACCCAGACAAUGACAGAGGAAGGGGAGAUAAUCAACAGAAAAGACUGAAGAGAAUCGGGAAUCAUAUUUUACCAAAGUCAAGAAGGUACAUACUGGAACCAAAUGCCUGUUUCAGCUGAUUUUCUUCACUUUAUGAGAAGACGGUACAUUAACUGACAUUGUAUGAUAUGGAUUAAAAACAUGUGGCACUA